rnacentral:lncRNA from 1 species
GUGCUGAACCCUGUGGGAGCAGGGAUUGAGUCGCACAGUGCUGGCAAGUCCAGCCUCCUGCUGUCUCAGGCUGCAACUUUCACACUCUGAGACUAAAUCCCUUUUGCAUCGUCCAGGUCCUGGGGAGAGACAUUUAUUUAAAAGUAGCUGAAAUGAAGCACAGAAACAAACUGUAAGUGAUUUUUGGCAUUACAAGUGCAGUGACUGUAAAGCAGUGGCUCGGCUCCAUACUUUAAUAGGCUUUAACGUAUCAAUUAUAGUGCUGAGUAGUAAUUAGGGCUAUAGAGCAAAAUGCAGAGUGACCUCUAAACUGUUCCAAAGCUGUGGGAACUGGUGGGAAGGGGGAUUUGGGAGCAGACUGAAUUCUGGUAAUCAUACCACAGGGUGCAAAAGAGCA